rnacentral:rRNA from 1 species
GACAAACGCUGGCGGCGUGCUUAACACAUGCAAGUCGAACGGAAAGGCCCUGCGUUUGUUGGGUGCUCGAUUGGCGAACGGGUGAGUAACACGUGAGUAACCUGCCCUUGUCUUUGUGAUAACUUCAGGAAACUGGGGCUAAUACCGGGGAUGAGCUCCUGCUGCGUGGUGGGGGUUGGAAAGUUUCGGCGGUUGUGGAUGGACUCGCGGCUUAUCAGCUUGUUUGUGGGGUAGUUGCGUACCAAGGCUUUGACGGGUAGCCGGCCUGAGAGGGUGACCGGCCACCUUGGGACUGAGAUACGGCCCAGAAGCCUACGGGAGGCAGCAGUGGGGAAUAUUGCACAAUGGGCGGAAGCGUGAUGCAGAAACGCCGCGUGCGGGAUGACGGCCUUCGGGUUAUAAACAGCUUUCGCAUGUAACGAACCGUGCGUGACGGUAAUGGGUAAAGAAGCACCGGCUAACUACGUG